rnacentral:misc_RNA from 1 species
UGAAGAUUAAAAAAAUGUCAUUUUCUGUGAUAUCAUGCGUGUAUGGUUGCCUGAAAUUUUUCUCUAGUUUGAGAUCUUGAGUGCUGGACUCAUUAAGGUUUUCUUUGGUUGAUUGAGGCCUUCCCUGGAAUUUCUAGCUUAUGAAGUCAAUAUGAAUGAGGUCUAACUAAGAAUAAAUAUUUUGAGACAACAAUAUUAGGUCUUCUUUGAGAAGUCACAAUAUUGGGGCAACACACACAUACAUAGCUAGGCAUGAAGAUCAUAGAGCUUAAUGCAUAAUUCUGGCAUGAGGGGAAUUUGAUCCUAUAUAAUGAUAUUGUUAACUUGGUGAGAGG